rnacentral:misc_RNA from 1 species
AAGUCGUAACAAGGUUUCCGUAGGUGAACCUGCGGAAGGAUCAUUAUUGAAUAAACUUGGUUGGGUUGAUGCUGGCUCCUCGGAGCAUGUGCACGCUCAUUCCACUUUUAACCACCUGUGCACCUUGUGUAGAUCUGAACAACUCUCGGGGUAACUUGGUUAGAGGAUUGCUGUGUGUAAAAGCCAGCUUUCCUUGCGUUCAGAUCUAUGUCUUUAUAUACCCCAUAGAAUGUAACGGAAUGUAAUUGAUAGGCGUUACUGCCUUUAAAAUCAAAUACAACUUUCAACAACGGAUCUCUUGGCUCUC